UAAGAGGAGUACUACUCUUCCCUGUUUGGGUAAAUCUUGCAAGGACUGCAUACCGAUAAACCAAUAGAUAGAUCCUACCCGGAAGAAGGAUGGGAUUAAAACCAAUUCUCAUUUGUGAAUCAAGAAGCAAGCCAAGAUGACUGAAAGAAUUGUUUACCACAGAAAUCUUUUUACUUAGUCAAACCACACUUAUCUUGAAACUGGAUUCUGUUCCUGUUACCCCACUGAAAUUGCUCUAGAAAAACCCAGUAACUUCCAAAAUGGCCUACCACUUUCAACUUACAUUACACCAUUUGGCAAGUAGAUAAAGUACAAGAGAAUGACCCAAUUGACUGUUAACUACUACAGAAUAAAAAUGAAGUUCCUGCUAUGAUACGUGUGCUGGGGAUAGAUUUCAGCCUUG